rnacentral:sRNA from 1 species
AAAUUGAUUUUCCGGGGUACUGUAGCUUCAAAAGUACGCAAACACCGAAUC